GACGAACGCUGGCGGCGUGCUUAACACAUGCAAGUCGAACGGAAAGGCCCUGCUUUUGUGGGGUGCUCGAGUGGCGAACGGGUGAGUAACACGUGAGUAACCUGCCCUUGACUUUGGGAUAACUUCAGGAAACUGGGGAUAAUACCGGAUAGGAGCUGCUGCUGCAUGGGGGGGGUUGGAAAGUUUCGGCGGUUGGGGAUGGACUCGCGGCUUAUCAGCUUGUUGGUGGGGUAGUGGCUUACCAAGGCUUUGACGGGUAGCCGGCCUGAGAGGGUGACCGGCCACAUUGGGACUGAGAUACGGCCCAGACUCCUACGGGAGGCAGCAGUGGGGAAUAUUGCACAGUGGGCGGAAGCCUGAUGCAGCAACGCCGCGUGCGGGAUGACGGCCUUCGGGUUGUAAACCGCUUUCGCCUGUGACGAAGCGUGAGUGACGGUAAUGGGUAAAGAAGCACCGGCUAACUACGUG
rnacentral:rRNA from 1 species